rnacentral:rRNA from 1 species
GCGGCGUGCUUAACACAUGCAAGUCGAACGGUGAAGCAGAGCUUGCUCUGUGGAUCAGUGGCGAACGGGUGAGUAACACGUGAGCAACCUGCCCCUGACUCUGGGAUAAGCGCUGGAAACGGCGUCNAAUACUGGAUAUGAGCUGCGACCGCAUGGUCAGCAGUUGGAAAUGAUU